UAUGAGCAAUGAUUGUUCAAUGUCUUCAUUUCUUCAUAGAUUGGAGCAUAUGAUCAACAAAUAUGGGAAAAAUCUGUUGAACAAAGAGAAAUCAAGGUAACAAGUUUAUUUCAUUUUGUUUGUUUUGAAAUAUAAUUCUAUGAAUUGAUUAUGUGUCACAUUUUAUUUAAUAUCUUUUUAUAUACUUUUAAGGUAUAAAUUAAUAUUAUUAUUUAUUCUUUAAAUAAGAAGUAAACUCUUUUUUUAAAAACAGCAUAAUCAUGUCUUUACUGCUAAUUAUUUUUUGAGCUUUUUAGCAUCUUUCCAUUCUUUUAAAAUUUAAUUUCUAAUGGUUAUUUUUUGUUAGCUUUUUUCCCCUUUCACUUUUCACCUUAUACUUCUAGUUUACUUUUCCUCCCUUAUGAUGCUGUCAUUGCUCUGUACAGUUUAUUAAACUGGUAAGUGUUUUAGGAUUUUUCCCGCCUGAAUGAUCCUGUGCAAAUGCUGCUCUGCUUGAGAUCUGCUUUUGGUGCUACUAACAGAAUGACUUGGACGCAAAAAGAGUCGCUGAAAAGUUGGUCAUUUUUGAAAAGAAUUUAGAAAAAUAAAACAUUAAUUAAAUAUCUUCAUAGUAAGCAUUUUCUUCUUGAACAUGCAGCUACCUCAUAUGUUGAUGUGAUAUUCUCCUAGGCUGCCUUGCUGGCAUGAAAACUAUUUUUAAACUAAAUUUGUUGUUUCUCAGCAUUUUUUUUUUCGAUAAUAAGAUUUAUAUAUUUUUUUUCAUUUGCAAAGAUACUAAUCAGUGUGUUCCUGCACGAGCUAAAUUUAAUUUGGGCCCUACCAGAGUCUGUUUAGUUUACUUGACAUUCUGUUUUAUAGAAAGGUUUAUGUUACAGUGAAAACUAGGUCUAUAGAUAUUUCACAAUCUGUUUUUUUAAAAAGCUGCCAAUAUUUAACUAUAAUAAAGAGCAAGAUUCUUUGACAUUUGUUAAUUUUAAUCUUUACACUUUUUUUUUUAAUGAAGAUUUGAUACAUUUAAGGGUGGGGCAUGUAGCUCAGUGGAAGAGCACCUAUUUAGCAUGUGAAAAGUGCUAGGUUCUAUUCCCAGCACUGCAAAAUUAAAAGAAUGAAUACACUUAAUAAAGUUGUUACGCGUUAAAUAUAGGAUUUAAGUCAGGAGGAUAGAAAGAUGAGGUCGGUUACAGUUUUGUAGGUAAGAUAUGUAAUUGAAAAUGAGAUAAAUUCAGAGACACUUGUGUAAGUCUCUAUAGGGAAUGCAGAGGGAGGCAGCCCUGGGGAGGUUAGGAGAAAUUUAAUAGAGGAAGUAGUUCUUGAACAGAGUUUGACAGACUUUGGGGAGGCAAAUGGUAAAGACAUUACAGACUGAUGAAGAACAUAUGAAAAUAUAAAGAAAAGAAGAAACAUGACUGAAUCAGGAAUACUCAAAGAGUUUGACUUGGAAAUAGAUUGGAUUGAGGAAGGAUUUAAGGAUGAUUAUGCAUAAAACUAGAAAAGAAAAUGGAAGUUAAAUAAUGAAGGGUCUUGAAUACCUAACCCAAGAAUUUAGACAUAAUCUUGAAAAAAGUGGGGUUGACACUGAAAGAAUUUUUUUAAUUGAUUUUAUUAUAUUUUUAGAAAUACACGACAACAGUGGAAUACAUUACAAUCCUUAUUACACAAACAGAGCACAGUUUUUUGUAUCUCUGUAUACAAAGUAUGUUCACAUCAACUUAUGCCAUUAUACAUGUACUUUUUUUUACUUUACAAUUCUUAAUUCACAUAUAUACCACAAUUUUUCAUAUCUCAUGUUUGUAUAUAAGGUGUGUGUUUUUAAAAAUUGUGUUGACAUGCAAUUCAAGUCUUUCUAUUUAUUUAUUUAUUUAUUACAUGACAAUAGUGGAAUGCAUUAUAUUCAUAAUUAUCCAUUCACAGCACAAUUUUUGUAACUCUGUAUAUAAAGUAUGUUCACGCCAAAUUAUGCCAUUAUACAUGAGCUCUCUUUUUUUGCAUUACAAUUCUUAAUAUACCUUUAUAAUACAAUUUAUCAUAUCUCUGAUUGUAUAUAAGGUAUGUUGACUCCAAAUUCACAUCUUCAUACAUGUAUUUUGUAUAAUGUACUUUGUAUAACGAUAACCAUUACAUUCCACCAACUAUUUUUCUUAAGCAUUUUAGAAAUUAUAACUAAAAUUUAAUUUUAUUCUCUGAUCACUUUGGCCCAAAUUUAAAAGUAAAUAUAUAAAAAGAAACUCUGGUGUGCUAUUUCAUAGUUGCAGUUGCAUGAUUAUAGAUAACAGUAAUGUACUGUAUAUUUUAAAAAGCUAGAUGAAAGGAUUUUGAAGGUUUUUACCAUAAAUGUUUCCCCACACAUGUUUGGGGAAAUAGAUAUGCUUACCCUGAUUUAAACGUUGUGCAAUCUGUGCAUGCAUCAGAACAUCACACAGUAUCCAUAAAUCUGUGCAAUUUUUAUGUGUUGAUUGAAAAAAAAAAAGAAACUUAAAUGCAGAAUUUCCCUCAUAGCUCCUAGAUUUUAAAAGCUUCAACAAAAAGCUUAUGAAAUCUUUAUUUAUUGACAGAGGAAAAAGGAGAUGGAGGGGAGAAAAGGAUUUCUAGAAAGUGAAACUGAUAUUUCUGUCCUUGAUGGAUUCUAAGUAUUACAGUAACUCCAUGCAUAGGAAGUCUACUUACUAAUAAAAGAACUUUAUAAACUUAAGCAGCCUUCGUUAAUUUUGGAGGUCAAUAUUAUCUGUGUAUUUGGGGAUUUUUAAAAAAUACACAACUUCAUAGUAUUUGAGUCACUGCACUAUGGAAAACAAACAUACUAUGAGUUUAAAUGUACAUUCAAAAAAGAAUAUUUCAUUUUGACUCUAGCAUGUUAAUUACAUUUAUACUGUUUGUUUCUGUUUUCUACUUUGUGCAUAAAUGAGUAGUUUCAAAAAUUUCAUUCUUUUUUUUAAUUUCAUUUUUUGUUUGUUUGCUUAACUUUGUGCAGGUUAUGAUUAUAGCUAGGAAUACUUUGUCUGAAUGCAGUUUACCCCAAAUCAAUUUAAAAUUUUCCAACUUAAAAUGUCUACUUAAUUAAAAUCAUGUUUUAUGAAUACUCACAUCAUUGUUGCCCCCAACGCUAAGGAUUGAACCCUGGGCCUGGGGCAUGCUAGGCAAAACUCUACCACAGAGCUAUAUCCUCAACUCCAAUAUUUUUCAUUUUUGUGACUAAAAUUAUUAAUUUUCAAUUUAUCAAUGUAAGUUUUUACUUUUUAAAAACCCUUUAAAUAUUCUGAUAGACUCCCUUGAAAGGGAAGUUUUACUGAAACUGGCCGUUAAGGUGUGGCUCUAUAAUAUAGCUCAAAAUAAAUGUUUUAAUAGAAUGUAAAAUAGGAAAUGAACCAAGUAUAUACAAGGUCAAGUAGAAUGAGCAUGUUGAAAACCAGCAUAGUUGUGUAAAUCAAGACCAUUUACUGUUUUUCUGGUUAGUUAUUAAAAGACUUUCUGAUAAAAAUUUUAGGUUUACAACAAUAAACUAUGUCUCAGAUUAGUCAGAAAACACUGGCAAUAAUGGUUAUUCUAAAGUUAGAGAAAGACUUAUGAUAGAAGUAAAUGUAAACAUAUUGCUGUUUUUUUUAAUUCUUGGCACAAUAAAGGUAAAAUUCCAUAAUAAUAAACUUUAUACCAAAUCAAAACAGUGCUUUAUUAAUGAAAUUUUGUUUAAAUGUAUGUAUUAGAAUUGUCUUUCCAGUUUGCAAAAUCUUGUAAAUGAUUUAUAAUCUGUUAGCUACCCUAUAGUUACAUCAAAAUGAAAGUAAAGUACAGAAGCAAUGGAUUCUCAUUAUUCAUGGUAAUUAUAUUCUUGAAAGUCACCACAAACACUGAAUUGGUGGUGAAUACUGAACCAUUGCUCCUAAGGGAAAUAGGUUUCUCUAAGCCUUAGGUCAUAACACCUUUGUCAACUGAUGAGUAUAUAACUUUGUUUUAUGUAUGUUUCUGUGUUAAGAUCCCUUAUUUAAUAUACAUUGUUGAUUUUUAUUAACAAUAAACUUAUGACCAGUAAUGCUAUAAGUCAGGUUUAAAAUGGAGGUUAUGCUGGCAUGGUGGUACAUGCUCAUAAUCCUAACAAUUUGGGAGGUUGAGGCAGGAGGGUCACAAGUUCAAAGCUAGCCUCAGCAACUUAGUGAGGCCCUAUGCAAUUUAACGGGACCCUGUCUCAAAAUGAAAAAUAAAAAGGGAUGGGAAUAUGGCUCAAUGAUUAAGCACCCCUUGGUUAAAUCCUGGCACUGUAAGUGAAAGAACAAAUAAAUAAAUAAAUGGAGCUUAUCUGACACACAUUUUCUCUGAAAGGCACAUCACAGCUUUCUUGCACUUAGGAACACUAGACGGCACUGCAUGGUGUAUGGGGUCAUUUAAAAAAAAAACUGCCAAUAAAAAGCACAAAAAUGUGAAGAACAAAAAACUAAAACAGACUGGAAAGAGAACUUGUUUACAGUAAUGAGAGCUCAAACAAAAAGGCAGAGUGUUGCCUUGUAUGGCCUCAGCUGAGAAUGUGCAUAUUGGGAGCCUAAAAAUUUUUUCCACUCUGCAAAUAAGGGCAAAAGGACUAAACAUAUGGAUUUAGGGAUACGAGUAACAAUAAGUGUAUUUGCAAAUAUAGAAUCUGAGAAUGUAAGGAUCAACUAUCUAUAUAUUGCUUUAUCUUCAAACCUGACCCCCCACCCCCUUUUUGUUUUGUAUCUUUGGGUAGUUUGCAACUUUAGUUGUACGGAGCAUAUGAAAAAGUUCAAAGGUUAAUUACAUCUUGAAGUCAGGGUACAUUAUUGGUUUAGAUGUAUAAGUUCUGACCUUAAAUACUGCCUCUGGUUUUAGAUGUAAACAGUUCUUAAAUCUGAUUUUAACUUUAUUGUUCAUUGUUACUUGGAUUAGGACCAAAGAAAAUAUUUACUGCAAAGUUGGUUGUUUAAUUGAAUGUCUUCUGAGGAAUUUAACCUAAGCUUACAAUUCUUAACAUAUUAGGUCUUAAGUAAUAACAUAAUUCAUUUUUCCCCACUAAUUUUGACCACCCCCACCCCACCCCUGCACUCUCUACACUGAAAGCAGAAAUUUAAUUUUAGCCAGUGGUCAAUAAUUUCAAGUUUAAAUUAAUUCAAUUCACAAAAACUGCCUCUUCUUACGUUGGCAUAUGGACAUAGUGCAACCCUAAGAUGUACAUAAUCCUCUCUGGGGCUCAGCUGAUACCCCCAUAACAUGCUAGCAUUUGCUGAGAAGUUUACAUCUCUGUCUAGUUCUUAGCUCUAUGAUUUACUGCUUCCUGUAGCAACACCUCAACAUCACAUCUUGAGGGCCUUCAGGGCUACUGCUCACCCCAUCCUGAACCCUCUCCUGAUGACAAUCUGGGGCCAGUGUAGUCUCUUGAACCAUCUAGACUGUACACCCAAAUUUGCUUGGUGUAGUCAUAAUCUUUGUAUUAAAAUUUUACUAUUAGUAAUGAACUGUCUUUGCAUGUUACACAAAUCCCUAAACAUAUCCUUUUAGAAAAACAAAUUUAUUACAAUACUGUAAUUAUGUUCCACUUGUAACAAAUGCAAAAUAUAUCUUUUUGUUUGGUGUAUUACUUAAAGAUUUUAUAUUAAAUUGAAAUCCUUAGAAGUUAAUUCUUUUAUGCUGUUCUAGACUAAGAGAUUAACAUGUACAAAUUUCAGUACUACUAUUUAUAUAUUGCAGGGGUUAAGAAAUAAACCAAAGAAAACAGCACAUGUGAAACCAGACCUCAUAGAUGUUGAUCUUGUAAGAGGUGAGUCUUCAAUAAAUAAAUGCUUUAUAUAAGGAGACAUUGACUUUGAAGAAGCAAUUUUAAAAUAGGUUAGAUAUAUACACUUUUAGAAGUAAAAGCAGUUUGAGCUGACAUGAGAACAGGAAUAGCAUAAAAAAGAGAGAAUGGAAGAUAAAUACCUUUGAGUAGCUUUUCCUCCCACUAAAUAUCACUGAAAUAAGUAUAAAAGAUAGCAGUUCAUGUUGCUUAGCAAAGCAUAGCACUUUGUUAUAAAAAUUAAAGUGGCAAUUUGUAAUUCCUAACUGAAAUUGACAUUUGAAUACUAUAUUAUAUUUAUAAAAUAUGUGGGAAAAAUUCUAUUAUUUCAACUAAUAAUCUUUUUCAGAGUAUUUGAGUUAUCAUAUUAAGAUACUAUGAUGAAUAUUUUUUAAAGUGACUACUCCCUAAAUUGGAUGUUUCUUACUUGUAGUACAGAAUAAAAUUACACAUGUGUGGUUUUUCAAACAGUGACAUUUUUUUUCUGUAGGGAAAUAAAUGUAGUCUGUCAUUGUAUUUUACCUUUUUUUCAGGGUCUGCAUUUGCUAAGGCAAAGCCUGAAAGUCCUUGGACUUCUCUGACCAGAAAGGGAAUUGUUCGAGUUGUAUUUUUUCCCUUUUUCUUUCGCUGGUGGUUACAAGUAACAUCAAAGGUCAUCUUUUUCUGGCUUCUUGUCCUUUAUCUUCUUCAAGGUAUAAUUAAGUGAUGGAAAUGCAAUUUGCUUUUAGCUUUCAGGGAUGUUAUAUUUUUAGAUUUACUAAAGGCUUUGUUCUAAACAUAUACUAACUACUACCUAGAAUGAAGUGAGUAUGAAUAUGUUAACAAGAGAAAGCUAGUUUAGUAUUAAAAAUGUUUGAGAAAAUAAGGCAGUAUUUUCCAAUAUGAUUAUGCAAAAAUUUAAAUCAGUGUAUGGCUAAAGAAUUUUCUUUUUCUUUCUUUUAUACUGGGGAUUGAACCCAGGGACACUUUACAACUUUACAGUCUAUUUACAGACUUUACAGUCUAUUUAUUAUUAUUAUUAUUAUUAUUAUUAUUAUUAUUUUAUUCUACUUAGUUGUACAUCACAGCAGAAUGCAUUUCAGUUUGUACACAAAUGGAUUGCAACAUUUCCCUUCUUUGGUUGUAUACAGUGUAGAGAUGCACUAUCCGUGCAAUCAUAUGUGUACCUAGGGUAAUGAUGUUCAUCUCAUUCUACCAAAAACUUUUUUGGUGCUUCGCAUUAGAACCCACAGCCUUGUGCAUGUGAGGCAAGCACUCUCCAACUGAGCUAUAUCCCAACCCCCAACCUUUUUUAUUUUUUAUUUUGAGGCAGAUUCUUGCUAAGUCACUCAAACUGGUCUUGCAGUCCUCCUGCCUCAGCUCUGGAGUUGCUGUGAUUAUAGAGGUACACCACUGCAUCUAGCUAUGAGGGGAUUUUCUAAAGUUAAAAAAAAAAUCUUUAAAAUGCAUCUGCCGCCAUAUGUACACACACACACAGAAGUCUUUUUUUUUUUUUUAAUACAACCUAUGCAAGUUCAUUUUUCCUGCCUAAAGCAUGGUUCAUUUUUCUGUACCUUUUACUAUGGUGAUCUGAACUAGCCUCAUUCUGUAUUGAAAUUUUAUAUAUCGUGCACUGAGUACUUUGUCAGAUUAUUACUUAAUUCUCACAGUAACCCAAUGAAAUAUAUUUCUAGCUUAUAGAUAUGGGACCUGAAAGAUCUGCAAAUUCAAAGCCACACAAUCAACAGGUGUAAUAGUGUACACCUACAACUCUAAGUCUUCUGACUCAGAGCCAGACACUAACAACUCAGUUACACUGCCUCCCAACACAGCAGCAUUCUAGUGCACAAUCAUAGCAUCAUUAUACAACAUGACAUAUAUAGUAUUACAGACUAUUUGGAGACUAACGAAGAAACAACUCACAUUUCAUCCCAUUAACAAAGCAAUUAUUUUAAUUUGGUUGAUGAUAUAAAAUAAUAUGAAAUUUGGUUGAUAAAUAAAAUAAGAAAAGCUUGUCUCUUUAAUGUUACCUUAAAAAAAUUAUUUCAGUCCUGAAUGAUUAUUUCUAUAUGUUUGUCAAUGGAUUCUAUGUAAGAUUCUUGAUACAUUGUAAGUAAAUGAAAAUAAAAAUUAGACUUAAAAGUUGUUUCUUCUAGCCCAAGGGGCGUGUGUGUGUGUGUGUGUGUGUGUGUGUGUGUGUGUGUGUGUAGACUAUGAGGAUUUUGUGAUUGUUACUAGAAUUUUUGUUUUGUUUUGCAUUGUAAGGGAAUGAACCUAUCCCUCCCACAUUCUAGGCAAGUACUCUACCAAUAAGGUAAACAACAGCCCUGUUUUUUCUGAUUAAAGAUAUUUGUUCAUGGCAGAAAAUUUGGAAAUAUAGAAAAAACUAAAGAAAAAAAACCUAUUCAUAAUCUUGCCUUUCAGUUUACCUUAUAACAUUUUUAUAUUGUUGAGAGUACUUUGCAAAAACAGUUUUAUAUAAAUGUAAAUAUAUAUAUAUAUAGAGAGUCUAAUGUCAAAGUGUCAGUCUAUGUGUAUGAUUUUAAAUUACUAGAAAGCAUCUCAUUGUACAUCAGUAUUUGGCAUUUAAACUGUUUGCUCUCUUUUAUUAUUAUAAUUCUGAAGUAAACAUUUAUGAAGCUUUUCUUAUUUUAUUUUCUUAUUGUAGAUUCUUAGAGUGUAUGAAAUUCUAAUUGUUUUUAAAAUGGUGAUAUUUUUGUUAAUGCUUUCCAUGACAGUUCUUUUAAAUUUUUCUGAUCAAACAUUUUCUGGGUAUUGUUACCUGAUAUUUUGUUAAACUAAAUGUUGACUUAUAUACAUCAUCAUGUUUACCCAUGAAUACGAUAGGCAUUUCAUUGUAAUAUGUACAUUACAAUGAUCACACUUAACAAAAUGAACAAAAUGUCCUAAUAUUAAAAUUUUCUGCUUAUUCAGAAUUAGAUACUCAUAGACACUGGUUUCAGGCAUGGCUGGAUAUGAAGGCUCAGAUGAUGUCUUUACUUGUUUUCUGUUGACUCUGCUUUCCUUGCUGGUUGUACUCUUAAGUUGGCCCUUUCUAGGUGAUGGCUAAAGUGGCCACUGACAACAUUUCCGUAAUCCUUAGUAUUUGUGAUCUAGGAGAAUAGCCUUUUUAAAGCAUCUAUAUUAAUACCUGAAGAAGAUUCUGAUCACCCCUGCUUAGGCCACAAGCCUUUAAAAAUUAUUUAUUUAUUUUUAUUAUUAUUACUCCUAUGCCCAGAGUUAUUAAUUUGUGGCAAGCCUAGUUUUUUUGCCCAUGCCUGAGGUGGGAGAAAUAAGACUGUUUCAGUGACAGAUAAAGGAGGGAGACCCCCAAAAGGUAGAGUUUAUAUUCAGAAAAUCUAAGGGAUGCAGGGCAGGCAAAAACAAGAUUUCUCCUUCAUGUGGUAAUUGUUACAUUUAUGUUUAUUGUUUGCUCUGGAAAAUAUGCCCAAGUAAAUUUAUGCUAUUAAUUUUGUAUACAUAGACCUUUGUUUAUAUGCUUUUUAUAGCCAUAUUACACACUUAUUAUCAUUAGACUUCCUUAUUUGUACUAAAAGUUAGUAUGAUUCUUUUUAUUUUCUGUCAAUUAUCUAACCUGGAAUGCCUAUAAAUUUGUAUGCAUCUAAUUUUCUUUGUGGUGUUGAGGUGUGUACUUCAGAGAUGAUAUUGAGUGUUAUCUUAGUCUAAGAGUAAAUUACUAAAUACCAUGAUUAGGCUAUGGCAAACAAGAAAAUAGUCUAAAGAGCUAUGUAGAGUAACAUUUUAAAUUUAUUUAAAUGUGGAAAAAGAAUCUGGCAAGAAGUAAUGUAAGAGCAGUUUAAAAAGUUUUGAAGAAGUGACUGUCAGAUCUAUAAUUAAAUAUAUUUUCUCUCCCUUUUUGUAGUUGCUGCAAUAGUAUUAUUCUGUUCCACUUCUAGCCCACAUAGUAUACCUCUGACAGAAGUGAUUGGGCCAAUAUGGCUGAUGCUGCUCUUGGGAACUGUGCAUUGCCAGAUUGUUUCAACAAGAACACCUAAACCUAUAAGUACAGGCGGUAAAAGAAGAAGGUACUGUCUAUUGAAAAGUGAUCUUUUUGGGGGGUAAAUUUAUGUAAUUUGAAUCCAGGAUUAUUCUUAACUAUUCUCAUUACCUUCAUAGAAUAAAAUGUUGUCUUAUAAAAUUGUUCUUUCAAAUAAAGUACUGAGUUCUCAGAUCAAUUAACAAGCAAUUUAUAUUCUUUAUUUACUUAAAGGUUAUUUUGAAACCACAUGCCUGUGUUUUUCUUAAUUGUUGUUUUCUUAAAAUUCAUUUCCAGUCACCUAAGAACAAUAUUGGGAAUGUGUUAGCUGGAAUUGCUAAAAAUUCCUACUAAUUAGAAAAUUUUGUAUUUCUAAGAUGGCUUGGCAAAAAUAACAGCCAAAAAAAAAGAAAAGAAAGAAAAAGAAAUUUCAGCUAGGCUCUAUUCUCUAAAUGAUGUUUGAAGCUGUAUGAUAUUGCCCUUAAUUAAGUAUACAUAGAAGCCCAGUGUGUUGUCACAUGCCUGUAAUCCCAGCAAUUUGGGAAUCUGAGGCUAGAGAAUCACAAGUUCAAGACCAAAGUAAGCAACUUAGUUAAACCCUGUCUCAAAACAAGAAAUAUAAAAGGGUCAGGGAUGUAGCUUACUGGUAAAUUACCCCUGGGUUCUUUACCCUGGGUUCAAUACCAAGUGCUAGGGACUGGGGGCGGGGGGGGGGGAAUUAAACAUAGCAAGUCUCACAAAGCACAAUGGAAUUUCUGUUUUAAUGGUCUUUUGGAGAAUCUUCUUUUGAAUAUUGUUGAUUAGAGAUUGUGACAUUUGCAGUUUUUGGGUAUCGAGAUUUAAACUCAUCUCAUUUUUUAAAGAUAAUGCCUAUGUCAGAUAAAUAGCUUUGUUGAUUAGUUAGAUUAUAAUUCUCUCCAAUCUAAAUUUUCUUCUUUCUUUACCUGCAGAUAAGUGACAUUCAAAUAGGGAAGAAAUAACUUUUGUAAAUACCUGUCCAGUGUGAUCCUUACAACCUUUUGCCACUGCCCUGUCAGGAUGAGCAAGGAAAAAUACCUUACUAUUUAUAGAAAUUGGUCUUGAAUAUGCACUAUGAUAUUUGGAUUACAUUUUAUUUAGUAAAUUUGAAUUUUAUUAUUUAUCAAAUUUUCUAUGUUUAUGUUUUCUAAAAUUUUGAAUGUACUAUCGAGAAAGUGGUUGUUAAAAUUUUAAAGCUACCUUCUGCUCUUUAAUUUCUUCCUUGAUGAAGGAAAUUAAGAAAAGCAGCCCAUUUGGAAGUACAUAGGGAAGGAGAUGGUUCUAGUACUACAGAUAACACACAGGAAGGAGCAGUUCAGAGCCACGGUACAAGCACCACUUACAGUGUUGGCGCUGUCUUCAGAGAUCUCUGGCAUGCUGCUUUCUUUUUAUCAGGGUUUGUAUUUAUUCAAGGCUUUCUAUGGCAUAGAGCUGCACUAUCCCUUUUCUGCUAC
rnacentral:lncRNA from 1 species